rnacentral:ncRNA from 1 species
GUCGUCGCAGUCUACGUCGACGCAUCGUCUGCAGGGAUAGUCGCCCGCCCGACACGGGGCGGCACAGACGAGAGGA